GACGAACGCUGGCGGCGCGCUUUAUACAUGCAAGUCGAACGUGACGCUCGGAGCUUGCUCCGGGUGGAAAGUGGCGAACGGGUGAGUAUCACGUGAGAAACCUGCCCCGAAGACCGGGAUAACACCGGGAAACCGGUGCUAAUACCGGAUGCCCUCACCGGAUCGCAUGGUCUGGUGAGGAAAUGGAUUCCGCUUCGGGAUGGUCUCGCGGCCUAUCAGCUUGUUGGUGGGGUAAUGGCCCACCAAGGCUUCGACGGGCAGCUGGUCUGAGAGGAUGACCAGCCACACUGGGACUGAGACACGGCCCAGACUCCUACGGGAGGCAGCAGUGGGGAAUAUUGGACAAUGGGCGAAAGCCUGAUCCAGCCAUGCCGCGUGGGUGAAGAAGGCCCUAGGGCUGUAAACCCCUUUCAGCGGGGAAGAUAAUGACGGUACCCGCAGAGAAGUCCCGGCUAACUCCGUGCCAGCAG
rnacentral:rRNA from 1 species